rnacentral:misc_RNA from 1 species
UGUCACAUUCCAGGUUCUAAAUUGUUAAGUGGUUUAAUACUUAUGUACAGUUGUGUGCCAAAAUUGUUACUGUUUCUUCUUUUGCUUAAUUAUGCCCUUACCGUAUACGCGGAGUUUGUGGAUUAUUGCGAUUUUUGCGGUCAUGUAGUACACAGGUCUCCUUCCGAAAGGUUCCCGAGAAGACUGGGACAUAUGAGGGAAGUAUUUACGAAGAAGUUUCGCCAAAAAUGUCGUUGUUGUAGUUGUCAACAAAACAGAAGGCGCCAAAUACAAUCCCUGUUGAAGCACUCCCUUCAUCCAGCUCAUUUUUUACCAACCCUGUUCAGAAAAAAAUGGAACAUCAACGAAUAUGCACCGGAAAGACCCCUGCGGAGAAUGUGUAAGAUGUAAAAUGCAGUUGUCAGAAUGCCGUUGUGCAGAAAACAAGGAAAUAGAAGUGGAUGUUGAAAUAGAGUGUAAAAAAGCAGCGGUGCCAUCCUGUAAAAUUAAAAAAGCUCCCUCGUCGUGCAAACCGCCUGCGCCAGUUUGCAGAGGCAAACCACCUAGAAAAUCAUCCUGUAGAAAGAAACCGAUCCCUUUAAAAAUAAAAACGUGUCGUUGUAAACCAAGAAAGGUAUGCUGUGAACCACCCCGUCAGCCACAACCAUUGCCGAAUGAGUGUUUACCACCCCCUAGCGAAGGGCAACUCCUCUGUAGUGAACCGCAGGCACCCCCAAAUGACUGUAUACCACCCGCGAAUGAACCACAAGUGGAAUGCAGUGAACAAGAACUUUUACCAUCUUCCAAUGAUCCACCGGUAUCACAAACCACAUUUAAUAUAUGCGUUUCUUCGCCCAUUGAGGAACCCCAAAACCUCGAACAAUCGACACCCAGAAAAUCAGAACAAUUAGCCUCCAAGAAAUCGUGGAAACAACAAGAACUUGCAUGUUGUUGUCCACAAAAGCCAGACUGCGAACCAAGUCCAUUGGUUCAUAUACCAAAAUCAGACUUGUCCACUAUUCCAAAAGGGGAAUCAGGUUUAUCGUCGGUCACCAAUUGUAAAGAAAAAUGCAUAUGCUGUUCUUGUCGAACAAGGACGGGACCAGACGUAAUAACUACACGAGUUUACAACUUUCUUCAAAAUAUUAAGAAACAUAUAUGCAAACCAGAAUGAACUUGUUUAUUUGAAACAAUUUCUUGGUCUGUCUGGUUUCCCUUUCUGUUUCUGGAUUUAAAGGAUGUGCGAUUUGUGGUUAUUCUAAACAUUGUCCACGGAAAUCUGUUAGGGACCCCAGAAUGGCUUACUAUUCUGGUAAUCCGAAACUGGUUAGUCCAAAGCAAUACUAUUCCGACAAAACUUAUGUCGAACCGACCCACAAACAGUAUGAGUCCCAGAAACCAUCCCCUAAAGUGAUUUACAAGGAAAAUGUGAAUCGUCCCCCGGCAAGAUCUACUUCAAAACCUACAGUAUGUCGACCAUGUUAGAAUUCACAAUUAGAUUGGUUAUCGAAGCAGGAACGGUGCAGACUUAAAAAAAACAGAGCAAAAUUGAGCAAAAAUUGAACAAAUAUUUAUUGAUGAACUAGAACUAACUUUAAAUAAAAAUC